rnacentral:rRNA from 1 species
AUUGAACGCUGGCGGCAUGCUUUACACAUGCAAGUCGAACGGCAGCGCGGGCUUCGGCCUGGCGGCGAGUGGCGAACGGGUGAGUAAUGCAUCGGAACGUGCCCAGUAGUGGGGGAUAGCCCGGCGAAAGCCGGAUUAAUACCGCAUACGACCUGAGGGUGAAAGCGGGGGACCGAAAGGCCUCGCGCUAUUGGAGCGGCCGAUGUCGGAUUAGCUAGUUGGUGGGGUAAAGGCUUACCAAGGCGACGAUCCGUAGCUGGUCUGAGAGGACGACCAGCCACACUGGAACUGAGACACGGCCCAGACUCCUACGGGAGGCAGCAGUGGGGAAUUUUGGACAAUGGGGGCAACCCUGGUCCAGCCAUGCCGCGUGCGGGAAGAAGGCCUUCGGGUUGUAAACCGCUUUUGUUCGGGAAGAAAUCCUCUGGGCUAAUACCCCGGGGGGAUGACGGUACCGGAAGAAUAAGCACCGGCUAACUACGUG